rnacentral:rRNA from 1 species
UAGAAAAAACAAUGCUAAAAUCAGUAAUAAGAAGACACGAUCUUCUCCAAGCACAUGUGUACGUUAGACCGAACUAAUCACUAACAAAUCAACGGACCCAAACCAAGAGGGAAAUGCAACAAACACCAAUAAACCAAGAAAAAACUGCUACCCACUACCGUUAACCCAACACAGGAGUGCAGCCUCAGAAGGAAAGACUAAAAGGAAUAGAAGGAACUCGGCAAACAUGAGCCCCGCCUGUUUACCAAAAACAUCGCCUCUUGCGAACAAUCAAAGUAUAAGAGGUCCCGCCUGCCCCGUGACUAACAAGUUCAACGGCCGCGGUAUUCUGACCGUGCGAAGGUAGCGUAAUCACCUGUCUUUUAAAUGAAGACCUGUAUGAAAGGCACCACGAGGGCUCAACUGUCUCCUACCCCCAGUCAAUGAAAUUGAUCUGCCCGUGCAGAAGCGGACAUAAAAACAUAAGACGAGAAGACCCUGUGGAGCUUAAGGCACAAGGCCAACCACGCCAAGCACCACCCAAAAGACACAAGCACAACAGCCACUGGCCCCACAUGCCUUCGGUUGGGGCGACCGCGGAGAAAAACAAAACCUCCACGUGGACCAAGGACACAGUCCUCAAAACCAAGAGACACAACUCCAAGCAGCAGAAAAUCUGACCAAAAAGACCCAGGCCCAAACACGCCUGAUCAACGAACCAAGUUACCCCAGGGAUAACAGCGCAAUCCUUUCCAAGAGUCCAUAUCGACGAAAGGGUUUACGACCUCGAUGUUGGAUCAGGACAUCCUAAUGGUGCAGCCGCUAUUAAGGGUUCGUUUGUUCAACGAUUAAAGUCCUACGUGAUCUGAGUUCAGACCGGAGCAAUCCAGGUCAGUUUCUAUCUAUGCAGUGACUCCCCCCAGUACGAAAGGACCGGGGAAAUGGGGCCCAUACCAAAAGCACGCCCCACCCCCACCCGGCGAAAACAACUAAAACGG